AUGUUACCCUGUUCAAAAGAUGGGUCAGUCUAAAAGAAAGUCUAAACUUUUUCACUGGCAGUUCAUAAACCAAAGUGACCAGGACAUUAUCAACAGUAAAUGUUAAGUACUACAGAACUCUUAAAAACCACACUGCUAGAGUUCAAAACUUGGAAGGUUUGAGUAUAUCAUCAAAUGACAGUACAGUUUGUGAAGCCAGUCUUCAGCUUUUUCUGGGUGGUUCAUUUUAUAUAACUCUUUCCUUUUCGAAUGGAACUACCGACGAGUUUCGCAUAAGUUUCUAAAGACUCAGUAGAUUUUUCGUACUUGGAAGAAUCUCAUUGCGUAACUUGCUAUCGUUCUAGGACGAUAAAAGUUAGUAUCAAAACUGCAAACAAUCAAGAAGAACAAGAUGAUGAAAAAGCAAAAAGAUUCAACACAGAAGGUGAAAUCGCUAUGCAUUUUGCUUGCUAGCAAAAGUUGAAAACAUCGUUAGCAAAAAAAAGUUGAAAAUAAUUUGUCAUAAUUCUGGCACAAUCAUUGCCAUCUGCACGUUAUUUAUUAUUCAUUAAAAAUUUAAGACAAAGUCGUUUAUGGAAAGUAAAAUGUGUUGCUUAUUUAGACUUAUCCAGGCAUGAACAAAUAAAAUAUGUAUGUUAUCAUCAAAGUAGUGCAAGAAAUUAACAGAAUCCUCAAUCGAAAAUGACGAGUUCUGUAUUAAACUUUAUUAUUACAGAAAAAUUAUACAAGAAGUGGGCUUUUUAAAACUAGAUUUAGAAAAAAGAUCUGUUGAUUGUAUUCUGUAAACCUUUACCGUAAGAAAAAGAUAAGUAUAGAUUUAUUUUUGAUUAUUUAUUUGACUCACUUUAUUUUUCAAAUCCCAAGAGCUCACUAACUUCAUUAAUUUCAGAUUAGAAUAUCAAAAUAUGAACAUUCCACUUUUAUCCCCGCUUGAAUAUAUUCUAUAUAUAUAUUUGCAAUAAAAUUACACACAUUUAUUGUUUAUCUUUUCAGCCAGUAAUUGUUUCAUCCGCCUUCCAGUUCUUUUGGAUAAUGAAAAAAAACUCUCUUUUCUUAAUUCUGGUCUUUUUUACCACCAUUUCAGCAUGGAGUCGCGAAACACACCUGCUAAUCCAAAACUUCUCAACCCAAGAUAUUACUACCACAGUGGUCACCGAUAUAGAAUGUUUCGAUUUUGAAAAAGGAAACGGCCCUUUAGAAAGAUUCCAAAAUGUUUCAAUUCCGUCAAAGUCGUCGUUGGCGCGUCAGCUAGAAGUUAACCUAAUAGCUAAGAAUUGUCCCUUCACCAUGACUUUAUGGUUCUCUGAUUUAACAAAUGACCGGUUUAGAAUUAACCAGAAGUAUGCAAUUAAUAAAGCAACAGCGGAUUUUUUGAGCGGUGGAAAUCGCAUAAUUGAGUAUAUGAGAAGUAGAAACACGAUUGUAGUAACAGUGAAAGAUUAACUUGCAUCAAAUUAAUACGAAAAUUGUUUAUUUCCAAUAAAAACUACCAUACAGGAAUAUUAA